GAAUUCGCCCUUAGAGUUUGAUCCUGGCUCAGGACGAACGCUGGCGGCGCGCCUAACACAUGCAAGUCGAACGAGCGAGAGGAGGUUUACUUUCUCAAGCGAGUGGCGAACGGGUGAGUAACGCGUGAGGAACCUGCCUCAAAGAGGGGGACAACAGUUGGAAACGACUGCUAAUACCGCAUAAGCCCACGACCCGGCAUCGGGUAGAGGGAAAAGGAGCAAUCCGCUUUGAGAUGGCCUCGCGUCCGAUUAGCUAGUUGGUGAGGUAAUGGCCCACCAAGGCGACGAUCGGUAGCCGGACUGAGAGGUUGAACGGCCACAUUGGGACUGAGACACGGCCCAGACUCCUACGGGAGGCAGCAGUGGGGAAUAUUGCACAAUGGGGGAAACCCUGAUGCAGCGACGCCGCGUGGAGGAAGAAGGUCUUCGGAUUGUAAACUCCUGUUGUUGAGGAAGAUAAUGACGGUACUCAACAAGGAAGUGACGGCUAACUACGUGCCAGCAGCCGCGGUAAAACGUAGGUCACAAGCGUUGUCCGGAAUUACUGGGUGUAAAGGGAGCGCAGGCGGGAAGACAAGUUGGAAGUGAAAUCCAUGGGCUCAACCCAUGAACUGCUUUCAAAACUGUUUUUCUUGAGUAGUGCAGAGGUAGGCGGAAUUCCCGGUGUAGCGGUGGAAUGCGUAGAUAUCGGGAGGAACACCAGUGGCGAAGGCGGCCUACUGGGCACCAACUGACGCUGAGGCUCGAAAGUGUGGGUAGCAAACAGGAUUAGAUACCCUGGUAGUCCACACUGUAAACGAUGAUUACUAGGUGUUGGAGGAUUGACCCCUUCAGUGCCGCAGUUAACACAAUAAGUAAUCCACCUGGGGAGUACGACCGCAAGGUUGAAACUCAAAGGAAUUGACGGGGGCCCGCACAAGCAGUGGAGUAUGUGGUUUAAUUCGACGCAACGCGAAGAACCUUACCAAGUCUUGACAUCCUGCGACGGUGCUGGAAACAGUACUUUCCUUCGGGACGCAGAGACAGGUGGUGCAUGGUUGUCGUCAGCUCGUGUCGUGAGAUGUUGGGUUAAGUCCCGCAACGAGCGCAACCCUUAUGGUCAGUUACUACGCAAGAGGACUCUGGCCAGACUGCCGUUGACAAAACGGAGGAAGGUGGGGAUGACGUCAAAUCAUCAUGCCCCUUAUGAGCAGGGCUACACACGUGCUACAAUGGCGUAAACAGAGGGAAGCGAAGGAGUGAUCUGGAGCAAAUCUCAAAAAUAACGUCUCAGUUCGGAUUGUAGUCUGCAACUCGACUACAUGAAGCUGGAAUCGCUAGUAAUCGCAGAUCAGAAUGCUGCGGUGAAUACGUUCCCGGGUCUUGUACACACCGCCCGUCA
rnacentral:rRNA from 1 species